UUCAGAGGAUGUAUCCAGAGAGAAUUAACAGACACAGAAAGAUUAGGCACAAAACAAUUACGUUACUAAACGUGUCCGGAUCCCCAUUGUUGGCCUGACUCUGUGGGAACUGGCUCCACACCAGUGUCCUUGGGGUGGUGUCUUGAGGAAAGCAGUUUGUCCUAGGAUGAGUCCUACCCAUAAACACGGUAGUGCCAUCUGAUGGCGCUGGUCUUUGCAACCCUGGGAACCAUGGUGAGGAUAGAAGUUAAAAGAGAAUAGAGCUUCAUGACAAAAGACAUUUGUCAUGUGAUAACUGAGGGAAAGAUUAGAAACGGGUAAGGAAGUUAUGUCAAUUCUGAUCCUGCAGGGAAAGAAAAAUGAUUAAGUUAAGGCUGUAAGAACAGCUUUGAUCCUACAGUCCGAUUAUAGUCCGGUGAAAGUGUUUCCUGUGUCAGGAUCAAUUGUAUGAGGGGACAGAUAAGAGGAGGUGGGCCACAUGGGCAGAUGAUUGAAAAUCACACCCAGUGUUGGGUUUUGUCUGAUGAAAACAAUUGUCCCUCACAGACAAGAAGUGGAAGAAAUGGAAGAUCAGCUGCUGGAGGCUGAGCUCACCUUCAAUCACAAGAUCGCAGUUCAGGAGAGAAAUGCUGUGGCUAACUGGAUGAAGGCUCGGUAUUGGGAAACAAGGAUGAUGCAGCAGAGCAGGGAGAACGCGUACCUGAAAUACAGACUGCGCAUGAUGGAAGGGGAGAUGCUGCCUGUGGGAUCCAUGCGGCGCAGACCGAUGCCGGGGAGGCCCGAGUUGCAGGAGCCUCUGUGGCAAGCACCUAGACCGGUUCCCAGGAUGAAUGGCAGCACCAGCCCUCAAAGGGACCCCGAGAUGGCUUCGGUCGGUAGAGGUGUGAGAGAGUUUCCUCGUUGCCCAGGGCCCCUCCAUAUGCCCUACCACAUGGGGCGGAAUGUACCAGGCUUCCCUCCUACUCAGCCACACCUCGUUCCUCCACCACAUGUCACUUCCAGGGGGAGAAGCUUCUGUCUUUUCCAUGGAUGCUCCAUGCUGUAGCAUCCUCCACAAGGACCAGCGGUGCUGCCCACAGGCCUCUCAUGUCAUGGUGGAGUGAAGGCUGCUAAAGACACAGCUAAUCAUUUUGUAAUCCGAAGACUUCCUUGACCUCCUACAACCAGGCUCCAAGGAGUUUGUAUUUAGUAAACAUAUGAAUGUUUUCUGCCUGGUGGUCUGAAUGCUUUCCCUGCCCAUCCUGUCCCCUGUGCUUUGUCUCUCCUGGUAUCCCCCCAACAAACCGUUCACAGUUCUGUCUCUGU